rnacentral:sRNA from 1 species
GACAAACUCACUGAUGAAGGACUCAAGCAGCUGGGCUCAAAAUGCAGAGAACUCAAAGAUAUUCAUUUCGGCCAGUGUUACAAGAUCUCAGAUGAAGGCAUGAUCGUCAUAGCUAAGGGCUGUCUGAAAUUACAAAGGAUAUACAUGCAGGAAAACAAAUUAGUGACAGAUCAGUCAGUGAAAGCAUUUGCUGAACACUGUCCUGAGCUUCAAUAUGUAGGCUUCAUGGGUUGUUCAGUCACUUCUAAAGGAGUCAUUCACCUAACUAAGCUAAGAAACCUUUCCAGCUUGGACCUACGUCAUAUCACUGAACUGGAUAAUGAAACCGUGAUGGAAAUUGUCAAGAGGUGCAAAAAUCUUAGCUCUCUCAAUCUCUGUCUGAACUGGAUCAUAAAUGACAGGUGUGUGGAGGUCAUUGCAAAGGAAGGACAAAACCUGAAAGAGCUAUAUUUGGUGUCCUGUAAAAUCACAGAUUAUGGUAGGUAAUGAACCAUUUUCCUAAUCCUUUCUAAGAAUAAAGUUACAAAAUCAUUGAAAGUUUUUACAAAGAAAUCAAGAACUAUAUCAUAGAGACUGUCUUCAUUUAUGCUCAUUCUGA